CACGCUGUAAACGAUGAAUACUAGGUAUCGGGGCAACUCGGUGCCGCAGUUAACACGAUAAGUAUUCCGCCUGUGGAGUAUGCACGCAAGUGUGAAACAUAAAGGAAUUGACGGGGGCCCGCACAAGCGGUGGAGUAUGUGGUUUAAUUCGACGCAACGCGAAGAACCUUACCUGGACUUGACAUACCCUGAAUAUCUUAGAGAUAAGAGAAGCCCUUCGGGGCAGGGAUACAGGUGG
rnacentral:rRNA from 1 species